CUCCUCUGCUGCAGGCGGGCUCCGCCGCCCCCCCGUCACCCUCCAGGAGCAGGUGAGCCACUGACUAACGCACAUUGUGCUCUCGGCGACUCCACUGUGCGUGUGACAGCGGCUAACCUGCUCCUCGGACAUCACGGUGCGGCCGCCUCGCCUCCCCGGACCCGCGCCUCGAAGCCUCGACGCCCUCCUGCCCUCUCGGCCAGCCAGGUGAGGGGCUCCGGCGUGACAAGCAGUCGGCUCCCCCGUCCGUCGCCACUGUCCUGCCUCCAGCGGUUCCCCAUCCUCGGCUCUGCGGACCCCUGCGCUGCCGGGAGUGCCCCGGGAUCGGCCGCACUCGCACAGGGAGCGCGAAAAGAUUGAACACUUCCUGCAGCGGGGCUCGGUGUGUCCGGCGGGAGCGGAGAUGCAGGGAACGGGCCGUGUCGGCAUGUGGGUGCGAAUAAUUGGUGGUAAAGUUGUUCAGGAGAGAUGGCGUGUUCCCCUCUCUGUUCUCUUGCUCUUCUCCAAAGUAAAUAAGUGCUAGCGGACUCGUACCAAGUUAGAGACGCAUCAUCCCGGCCGCUGACGUCUUGAUACCCGGUCAGUGACUAACUGAACUGCUAUUGCCAAGGGUGUGUUAAUAGAAGAAACUCUGCCUAGUGUUGCCCUGGAUGAGUCACAUUUAAAGAGAGACUCUCGAGUCUGCUGAAGGAAAAGCAGGAACGAGCCUCACUUUCUUUUUUUGUUGCUGGUUUUUCUUUCCAUCCCACCCCUCACCUUUGCUCACUGUUUACUACUUCUUGUGCCAGGGCUCUGUUGGCACUCCAGUCCUGGCUGAGCAUUUGCAGAGCUGCCUUGGCCGAUGUGCUGUGAUGUCACGCAGGGGACUCUGACUUCAUGGCCCCGAGGAACAGGAAGGCGAGCCAGGCAGGGACUUUUCCAGCCACCCAGGGUGGCUGUUGUUAAAAACGGAGGAAGUGACGAAGCAGAUGGCUUCUCCUACAAAGUUAUCUCUUGCGAUUUUAUGCUGGUGAAGAAGCUGGGUAGUUGAAAAGUAUAUUUUCUGAAGAGCAGCACAGCUUCAUUGUCAGCUGAAGUUCCUAAUAACCAGCUAGGAUUCACCUCAGCUGCUGAGGUUUCCUGAAAGCGCUCAGGUAUUCCCCCUACUCUUGGGGCUGCUCUCAUGUAGCCCUGGGCUGUUAUAAAGGCUUGAUCUGAAGGAAUUAGCAGUGCUCUGGUCAAUAAGUAGUUAAUUGCACAGAAGGCAGAGCAAGGUCCUCUGUUGGUAGUGUCUCUCUAAGAAGUUUUGCCUGUCCCUAUCUCUCCUUCAUGCUCUUUGUAAUUUCUGCCUCUGGGUCCCAGAGGACCAUCUGUUCCUCACAAGAAAACUCAGCCCCCUCUGUGCUCUGUUUUUCCGUAGUGCUCAAACACCCUGGGAAGAUGGGAAAACCAACUGAAUUUACCCAAGAUGCUUUCAUGUUUGUUCAGAAGCCGAAUGGGCCUUUUUUUGGUGGGGGGGAGAGGGGGCAGGGCUCAGACAAGUUCACGGCUGUCUCAGCCCCGGAUUGCUUUUUUCUUCCCUAGCUGCACCUAGAGCAUCUUCCCACUGCUGGUCCCAAGCAGGCAGGAGCACAGUGUAGCCACAUGGAGAGAGGGAAACCUGGUGCAAAAUCCACCCAUGUACGAGUGUGUCUGAGAGCUGAAACUAAAGGCCAGAGACCCCUGCCAAUCCAUUUUAUUGGUGACCAUGCAAGUAACAAACCUGUGUCUGAAAAUGAAGGUGCUUUGUUUUUCUUUGAAUAAACAGCCCAGCGUUUGGGACUGUGCUGGCUGAUGACUUAACCCCGGGAGAUGCCGCUGGCAGAAGCAGCUCUGCAGGUCGCCUGGCAAGACCUGUCCCAGUUCCCAUGAGCAGCACUAUGGUAUGAAUGCUUCUGACUUCCUGCUACCAAUGGAACCAUCCUGUUCAGCUCCACUCUUCAUGGAGGGAAGGGAACAGGCCUUACCCUUCAAGCAUCACACUAAGCAGCGCCUGUUGUGUCCUGUCCAUAACAUGUCCCAGUGUCAGGGCAAGGUAGAAUGCAGUCACUCUGCACUCUGAGAUGGAGAAGGAAAAAUCAUCAUAGGAGAGCAGAGAAUGCUCCCUGCAUGGACACACACCGGUUCAAACAUCUCUUCUUCAUCUACAGUGAACUAUGCUAGUAGAAUCUGUGCAGCCAGGAGCAAGCAGCAGAGCAUCUGUACACCACUUGGGGAGCAAAACCAACAGGCAUUUUCUCCUCCAGACAUUCACACCUUUCCUUAUGUAACUGGUGCUGAAGUGUGUGCUUUAAAAGCUGCUUGCCAAAUCCAGGGGCUGGAAGGCAGCACAAACGCUUCUAGCACUCUAGCUGAAAUUGAGGGGGAAAAAAAUCCAAACCCAAACACCCAGGAACUUGCACAAAUACAUAACCGCAACUUGGGGAUGGUUCAAGUGUCUGCAGCAGUGUUACCCUGAAGAAACUGCAUUGGCCUAGGACAGUGCUGGCACCCAGACCACCAUCUGAUGAGGAUGGUGAGGAGCUGACAGUCCAGGAUAGAGGAGCAAGGAGCUGGGGGUUAGUUUUCUUAUGCAAUGUUAAAAAAAAAAACAAACCUAAAAAAAAAAAUAAAUCAGGUAGUGCAGCCAGGAAAAGGGUGCCAGGGAGGCUGGAGGUGGCUCAAAUGCUCUUCUGAAUGGUGCCUUGUGUUGACCGAACCUGCAGAUUUAUUAAAAAAAAAAAUAAACAACAAAAAUGUGGGGCUGCUCACCAGUGAAAAACAGGUAUAUCCUUUGCUUUGUGAUUUUUGGUGACACUGGAGCUAGCCAGGAGAAACAUCUGAGGAGAGAGAAGCUCUGAAGUCCAUUCCCGCCCACUCCAGGGCAGGAAGAAGCUGCCCACGGCGCCUGAGGGACAUGGGGACACGAGUCCCUGCACAGCCAGGCACAGCAUCCUUGAGCCACCCUGCACGCUUGGAUCCCUGCCUUGCCCGCGAGCCAGUUGUUCCCUCUCCAGUACGCGCCGUACG